rnacentral:rRNA from 1 species
CACACGCGGCAUUGCUGGAUCAGGCUUGCGCCCAUUGUCCAAAAUUCCCCACUGCUGCCUCCCGUAGGAGUCUGGGCCGUGUCUCAGUCCCAGUGUGGCUGGUCGUCCUCUCAGACCAGCUACGGAUCGUCGCCUUGGUGAGCCUUUACCCCACCAACUAGCUAAUCCGCCAUCGGCCACCCCAAUAGCGCGAGGUCUUGCGAUCCCCCGCUUUCAUCCUAAGAUCGUAUGCGGUAUUAAUCCGGCUUUCGCC